rnacentral:rRNA from 1 species
UACGUAGGGUGCAAGCGUUGUCCGGAAUUAUUGGGCGUAAAGAGCUCGUAGGCGGUGUGUCGCGUCGGCCGUGAAAACCUGGGGCUUAACUCUGGGCGUGCGGUCGAUACGGGCAUCACUAGAGUUCGGCAGGGGGAGACUGGAAUUCCUGGUGUAGCGGUGGAAUGCGCAGAUAUCAGGAGGAACACCGUGGCGAAGGCGGCCAUCUGGACCGCAACUGACGCUGAGGCGCGAAAGCGUGGGGAGCAAACAGG